rnacentral:misc_RNA from 1 species
GUUGGUGAACCAGCGGAGGGAUCAUUACAGAGUUGCGAAACUCCCAACCAUUGUGAACCUACCUCACCGUUGCUUCGGCGGGUGGCCCCCUCCCCGGGGCCGCGCCGGCCCCCUCCGCGGGGUCCGGCAACCCGUCAGAGGCCCGCAACUCUUCGUCAUCGUUGGCCUCUCUGAGUAACUUAUACAAUAAGUCAAAACUUUCAACAACGGAUCUCUUGGUUCUGGCAUCGAUGAAGAACGCAGCAUCUGA